AUUGAACGCUGGCGGCAUGCCUUACACAUGCAAGUCGAACGGCAGCACGGGAGCAAUCCUGGUGGCGAGUGGCGAACGGGUGAGUAAUAUAUCGGAACGUGCCCAGUCGUGGGGGAUAACGUAGCGAAAGCUACGCUAAUACCGCAUACGAUCUAUGGAUGAAAGCGGGGGAUCGCAGACCUCGCGCGAUUGGAGCGGCCGAUAUCAGAUUAGGUAGUUGGUGAGGUAAAGGACUCACCAAGCCGACGAUCUGUAGCUGGUCUGAGA
rnacentral:rRNA from 1 species